ACUAAAUAUUAUAAAAGGAGUGAAUGAGCCUAUAUUUAUAAAUUACAAAGUUAUAAAACCAUUUGUUGCAUAUAAUAGGAAGAUAUAUGAUAAAAAUUAUAAAACUUGUUCAUGUUAUGAUUCUCUUUCAUUUUCUAUUUCUUGUUGUAACAAAUGUGGAAGCACCACGUUAUAAAUGUGUUAAUGAUUCUGAUUGUAAAAAAACACUUUAUUGUUUGCCUCCUAGAAAAGCAAGGUGUGUGAACAAGCAUCAUUGUUCGUGUAAAUUAGCGCAUGAAUUACUAAAUCCAAGAGAGUAAAUAACAUGAUUGUAUUUCAAAAACCUUGUAGUUAUGGAAUUAUAUAAUAAGAUGAUUGUAAUGAAAUGAAAUAAUACAUCAAAUGAUAUUAUUUUAAUUGUAUUCUUCUUUAUAUGUAAAUUUAAGAGAAACUUCCAUGCUUUUCAAUUCAUGUAUAUCAUAUUUUCUUUCAAACUCAACCACCUUUCAAAGUAUCUAUAGUUUAAUAUGAUUUAGUCUAGGAUUAUUCAUAAUUUAAUCUAAUGAUAUUUUCAAAUUCUAAAUCAAAUAUAGGUUAAUUGUCAAUUAUUUUCAACAAUUAUGUCUAUUGUUUUUUAGUUUUGUUGACAUUUUGGAUUUGGGAGCAUAAGAAGGUUUUGUGCCAUAAUCAUUCGGUCGCCCUUUUUUAUAGGGUUUUUGCACGCUAUGAGCUUGCCUUCGGGGAUAGUGGUAGAUAGUUGUCUUUCUUGUUGGAUUUGCAAAGAGAAGGCUUUAUUCACAAUAGGAAGAGGCGUCAUUAAUAUAAUCUGAGCCCUAACAGUUGGAAAGAGGUAUGAAGUUAUCAAAUUCUUGCCAUAACUUCUUCAGGGUAGUGAAAUACUGAGUGACACUUUGAUCCCCUUGUUUAUGGGCAUAGAUUUCUUCUUAGAGGUUUGAGAUUCUGAAAAUGUCACCUUGAUGGUAUCUUUCAUGAAGUUCAUCCCAUAUUUCUUAGGUCGAAUCCAUCCAUAAAACGCUUUCGGAGAUUUCUUUAUCGAUGGAAUUUGUGACCCAUGCCAUAACCAUGUUGUUGCAUCUGUUCUAUGGAACAUGUCUAAGGUUGGAAAUAUUAGGGCGCGUUAGGGUUUCAUCAAUAAACCCUAACUUGCUCUUUGACAUAAGAGCAAGUUUCAGAGAUCGCAACCAAGAAUGAAAAUUAGAAUUGUUAAGAGGAGGAGUAAUGAUCGCCAAACCGGGAUUAUCACUAUGAUGCAUAUAAUAUGGAUCGAGCAUAUGAUUCAUGUUGUUCUUAUUGAUGGGAGAGUUUUUUGGGGACGAAGGGUUGCUAUCUAUAUUAGGCAUAACUGAGCAGUGAAGAAGGAAUAACAUAAAAGGUUACAACGAUAGUGAUGAAAAAACGGAGGCAAGAUCAAGGUUGAAAGAAGGGGGAAACAAGAACGACGGUGAAAUGCAGAAAGCGUAAAAGAUACAGAGAGAAUCUGGAAAAAAAUCAAAUGAGGAAGGACAUGUGGAAGUGGAUGAACGGGGAAGAGAAAAUGGGGAAAGGUUGGAUAAGGUGGAAAAAAAGAGAUAUCAGAGCAAUCUCUAAGCUCCUGAUACCAUGUUGACAUUUGUCAGCAGAAGCAUGGAUAAAGAUGAAAAGAGAAUAUUAUUCCAUUCAAUUAAUUAGUACAGGGCUAGAAUCUGACUGUUAAAAAUAAAACCCCAAAACUAAUAUUGAGCCUAAGACUGUCUAAGGUAAAAUAAAAUACUAUAUGGACUUAGGGAUUUUAACAAGUUUCUAUAAAAGCAUAAGAGAAUACAAUAAGUAUUAUUACAUGAGCAUGAAACCAAGGUUGAAUGCCUUAACAUGGUGACAAAUUCAAUUUACUUGUUCUGAACAGGAAAUAAAGUGACAUUCACCUAAACAUAUACACAUGCAUACCAAAGUUGGAAAUCCAACCGUGAUCCAGCCUAAAUAGCAUAAAUCAAGCCACAAAAACAAAUGAGCUUGUUCAAAAGAGGUAGGUGUAUAGUUCAUGAAGCCUAAAUUGUGGCCUCAUUUGGAUUAGAUUGGAGAGGAAUGUUUAAAACAUUCUCUUUUUAACCGUUUCUCAAACACUCUUUCUCUUAUUAGAUAAAACACCUAUGAAUCUCACCUUUUAGAAAUAGCUCAUAUGUAAUGUGGUAGGACCGACAUGUGUUUCACCUAAUAAAAAAGCCAGUGUUGAAAAGAAAGUGUUCAUAAUAUUCCUCAAUAGAAGAGUUAGACACAUUGAAAUUAUACCUUAGGUACCAAAACAAGUCCAAAUUUAACAUUAAUUUAAAAUAAAUGAAACCAUAAUACCUCAACAAAACACAAUUUUGUGAAGUUUGGAUAGACAAAUAGUCACACACUUAGAAAUAAUCAUUUUCAUGUUUUGUUUUCUCUUUUCAUGUUCAAUCAAUGAACCAUAAUACUGCCUCACAUCUAUCGCGAUGCAAAAAAUACCCGAGCAAAUAAACACUUGAAUGACAAUGAAGUCGCCACCGAAGUUUUAUUUCUAAAAGGGAAACACCUAUAAAACCGUUGAUGAACACGAAUAAGACCGUUGCAAUGAAAAUUAGGUUCAUGGGUCGGUUAUGUGCGAGGUUUUAGCGCCAUGCGGCAUUCGUUGUAACCAACAGGAACCAUCUAAUUAAACAUGAAAGAAAUGUUAGCUUAAAGUGUUAAGUUUCUUCUCAUUAUUGAAAGUAUUUAUAAGAAUUAAUAAGAAAGGACUAAAAAAAUGUUUUUAUUAUGGUGCUUGACGAGACUUUAGAUCUCGCUCAUCCCCUGGUGCGAUGGGGAACUCAAAGCUACAUAGUUCUUG